UGCAUAUCAAAAAGCGGAGGAAAAGAAACCAACAGGGAUUGCCCCAGUAACGGCGAGUGAAGCGGCAACAGCUCAAAUUUGAAAUCUGGCUUUCGGGCCCGAGUUGUAAUUUGUAGAGGAUGCUUUUGGCGCGGUGCCUUCCGAGUUCCCUGGAACGGGACGCCACAGAGGGUGAGAGCCCCCUACGGUCGGACACCAAGCCUCUGUAAAGCUCCUUCGACGAGUCGAGUAGUUUGGGAAUGCUGCUCUAAAUGGGAGGUAUAUCUCUUCUAAAGCUAAAUAUAGGCCAGAGACCGAUAGCGCACAAGUAGAGUGAUCGAAAGAUGAAAAGCACUUUGAAAAGAGGGUUAAAAAGUACGUGAAAUUGUUGAAAGGGAAGGGCUUGUGACCAGACUUGUGCCGGGUUGAUCAUCCGCGGUUCUCCCGCGGUGCACUCUCCCCGGUCCAGGCCAGCGUCGGUUCUGGGAGGGGGACAAAAGCUUGGGGAACGUGGCUCCUCCGGGAGUGUUAUAGCCCCUCGCCCAAUGCCCCUGCCGGGACCGAGGUUCGCGCUCUGCAAGGACGCUG
rnacentral:rRNA from 1 species